rnacentral:lncRNA from 1 species
CAAGAAAAUCCUAGGAGGCGUCUUGCAGCGUCUUAAAUAUGAAAGAAAAUAUAACCUACUGAGCCAGCAGUCCCAAAAUGGGUUGGGCUACAAAAUGGAAAUAACAAAGGGAAGACUACAUAACUACAACAUUAUAAAAACACAUUUCAUAAAUAACAAACUCAUUGAAAUAUUUCAAAAAUCAGGUGGUAAAUAUAUUUAAUAAAUAUAUUAAACUAUAACUUAAUAUACAUUAAUUAUUUCCACUCCAUGUCACCUCACUCACCCCAUCUUAUCACCCCACUACACCACCUUCCUUUUACCUCUCCACCGGAGAUAGCCAUCGGCUCCUUCUCCGGCGAUCGUUCAAGCAGCAACUCCGACGACCGUUCCGACAAACUGCUGUGGCAAACGCUCCGGUGCCUACUUUGGCAAACUGCUCCGACGACUAUUCCACCAAUUGUUUCGGCUUUGGUGAUAGAAAAAUCUCCAAAUUUUGUGAUGGUUGUAGUGGUGCAUUACAGUUAUCAGAUUUGCAACCGUGUUAUCUAUGACCAUACCUGUGUUACAUGUGGCAAAUUUAUUGACUUAUGUUAUUUGAGAAUCACCGUGACCAACUUUGCCUUAGGUAUGACUAAUUUUGACCAAAUUUGUAUUCAGUGUGACUGUCUGUGACCAGAUCAAUCUCAAGUCAUAAUCAGUCACAAUCAAUACAAAAUUGGUCACAAACACUUACAAUCAGAUCUCCAAACCACCACAAUAGAUUUGUUUGGAAAAAUAAUAACCAUUACCACCACUAACAUCUUUAAUUCAAAUUGAUGACCAUAAAUACUACAUUCACCUCAGAUCCACAACAAUCAUUACUACCAUAACUUCCACCAACCCUUCAAAAAACACCAACUAGCACCACUACACUUCUCUCGUAAAACUUCGGUGAGAGAAGUGGUAGGCGGUUGGAAUCUAGAGGGUGGGUGGGAAAGAAGUCGCAAAUCUGAUUUUUGGGUAAAAGAUUGCCAAACUAAUUCUUGGGGGAAGAAAUAGAGUGUGUGGGGUUAAAAAUUGAUAAAAGAUCUGGGGUAAAUUUAUACGGGGUCUGUGACCAAUUUUGUAUUUAAUGUGACUAUUUAUGACCAGAUCAAUCUCAAGUCACAACCGGUCACAAUCAACGCAAAAUAGGUCACAAACAGUCACAACCAGAUCUCGAACAGAAAAAAUCAUAUCUCCAAUGGCAACAGCAGAUCUGUUCAGAAAAAUAAUAAUCACCACCACUAUUAACAUCUUUAACUCAAAUCAAUAACAACAAUUAUCACUACCUUAACUUCCACCAAUACCUUCAAAAAACACAAACCAAUUGAUUGCUGAAUAUUUCUCAAUAAAGAUUUCAAAGAUUUUUCUUCAGUUAUUUCUUGAAAAGAUGAGGAAGAUUAUCAGAGAGAAGCUGUAGAUCUGAUUGUUCGUCACCAUAUGGUCCCCACGUUCACGUUUGGGUUUUGUUCUCCUCACACACUGUUUCUGCUUUAGGUGACCCAUGUACUGCAUUGGCACUUCCCAAAAAUCUAAGCUCAUCAACUUUCAAAGAAGAAAUUUGUGCGAAACUCCGACGAGAGAAGUGGUAGGUGGCUGGAAUUUAAAGGGUGGGGGUGGGGAAGAAGCCAUCGAUGAGAUUUUUGGGUAAGAGGGUGCUGAUAAAUUUUGGAGAAGAAAGAGAGAGUCAGUGAGUUAGAAAAUGAAUUGGGAUAUGGGGUAAAAGAAGUGUUUAGGGGUGAUAGA